CUUGACUCUAGUCUGGUACUGUAGGGAGACGUGAGAGGUGUAGCAUAAGUGGGAGAGUGCUGCCUUCUGGUGGCUCUUCGCCGGUGAAAUACCACUACUCUCAUGGUUUCCCUACUCACUCGGUGAGGCGUCUUGCGCCCUUGCCUUCGAGGUAAGGUGCGUGGUUCUCGCCUUGAUAGGGGACUCGGGUUUUAAUCCUCGACCCCUUGUGGACGAUCCGAGGACAGUGCCAGGUGGGGAGUUUGACUGGGGCGGUACAUCCAUCAAACGAUAACGUGGGUGUCCUAAGGCCAGCUCAGCGAGGACAGAAACCUCGCGCGGAGCAAAAGGGCAAAAGCUGGCUUGAUCCCGUCGUUCAGUACCCGAGGGGACUGCGAAAGCACGGCCUAUCGAUCCUUUUGGCGCGGAGAGUUUCCGGCGAGAGGUGUCAGAAAAGUUACCACAGGGA
rnacentral:rRNA from 1 species